GAUGAAGGGCCUGCAGGCCUGAACCUGGCUGUUAAAGUACCAGCGCAUCGUGUACCGUCCACAGCUCCCCUCCUCCAUGGGCAGCAGGCACACGUCUGCUGGAGCUGCACAACACACAGACACACAGUCAACAGCAAAUGCAGCCUGAGACAUGCAGAGAGGGCCAGACACCAGGCAGGAGUACCCCUGAUCCCAUCCCAGAACCAGUCAACAGCACGGCCGCGGGUUUACCUUCCCCAUUGACUCUCCUCUUGGACCUGACUGAUCUGGACAUGACUGCUUUCAGAGUGGUAACUUUGGCUGCUUUCUGACCACCAUCUUUUGCUGUUUUCUUAACGUCAGCUGAGGCUGAUUUUUUUGGUUGAACUUUGACUGUUUUGUCAGUGUUAUCCUUGACAACCUCACCUGUCAACAGACACACACAAACACACAGGCGCACACACAAACACACACAGGAAUCGAAACAUUCAGUAAAUAAAACAAAAAAAAGAGACAUUUUGCAUUAAAGUGUUAUUGGGUUUAAAGAACACGGUCCACGUUAAAGUUCACAGUCAGGAUGGUGUGUGCUUGUAGCUUGCAUGUGUGAGAAUAUGAAUGGUCAACAAAGUCUCGUAAUGUUAUGAAAUGAGCACAAAGUGAAACAAACACUUAAUAUGAGACAUGCUCCCCUGGCGCAAAUUUGAUUAUGUGUCGAUUGAAUAAACCAUAGUAUGGGACACAAGCAAAGAUUUGACUUGCCAGCUUUUAUUUAUCAAAUGGAACUGAAAAGUUUGUAGCGUGUGAUUGAAUUGUGUUAGAGUUAGGGACAUUAUAAUUUAGAUAAAAGGCAAAUCCCAGAAUAUGGCAUCCUUGUUAUUGUUCUUGUAUUUUUGUCUGUUGUGACUGAACAUUUUAAUCAUCACCUCCAUUUUAGACUUCAGCAUAAUCAUCAUAACAGAUUAAUAUAAAUAGAAAUGUGGUCCUAUCAAUAAGCUUAAAUCAUUUCUUUGAGGAUAGGAUAAUGAUUUGGUCAUGAUUAAAUCAUUUUGCACA